GAGAUGGAGUCUCGCUUUGUUGCCCAGGCUGGAGUGCAGUGGCACAAUCUGGGCUCACUGCCAGCUCUACCUACCUGAUUCAUGCCAUUCUCCUGCCUCAGCCUCCUGAGUAACUGGGACUACAGGUGUUUCUGGGUGAGAUUAACCUGAUUGGUAAAGUGAGUCAAGCAGAUGGCCCUCUCUAAUGUAGGUGUGACUCAACCAAUCAGUUGAAAACCUGAACACAACAAAAGGCUGAGUAAGAGGGAAGUCCUCCUGCCUGACUGCUUUGAGCUGAAACAUUGGCUCUCCCCACGUCUUGAGCCUGCCAGCCUUCAGACUGGAACCAGCACUAUUGACUCUCCUGGGUCUCCAGCUUACUGACUGAAGAACUUGGGAACUUACUGACUGAAGCCUCCAUAAUGAAAUGAGUCAAUUUCUGAGAGAGAGAGUGUGAGAGGGAGACUUUCAUCCUAUUGGUUCUGUUUUUCUGCAGAACUCUGACUAAUCCAGUGGAUCAUGUCUUUGAUAUUAAUUUUGUAUAUCCAUAGCACAUAGUAGUACAUCACGAGUAUGUUAGAAACUUAAAAUAGACGUUUAGAAGCAGAGUGUUCCUUGAUCAAAUGAUUCAUGAAACCUAAAGUCAGUUACUCUGACAUAAAAAUUGACUACACAUUUGCUAAAUCCUUGAGUGCAGGUACUGUUGCACUUGUUGGGUUUGAUAUAGGUGGAAAUAAAGGCAGUGAGAAAUGCAGUAUUGAUCUUGAUUAGGUGGUAUGCUGAGUCACUAUAUUUGAAUGAGGAAUUGUAAUUAUAGCACAUAAUACAGCAUGAUUUUCAUAAAAAAAGGUAUUAUUUAAAUGACAGGUUAAACUCAUUUACCUUUGUCAAAAGCCCAUGUAUAUCUUCUGAAAAUUCAUAAUAUUGUAAGUGACAGAAGAAGGGUUCUAUUUAUCAAUGCUACCAUAAGAUUUGUAAACCAGUUAAAGCAUGUCAUCUUUCCUGCAGCGAUUAGUGCUUUUGAUCCAAGUCAGGGCAUGCAUUUAGAGUUGUUUUUCAAAUUGUGGUGAUGAAUAUCUUGUCUGAUUUCACCUAUAACCCUUGAAAUGGAUAUGCAGGAAGACUAAUCAAGAUAAAAGUUUUAAUGCGUUGUUAUAAAACAGAGUGAAAUUAUGACUGGUUCAUGCUCAAUUUUAACUCCACAGCCUUAGCCUCAUUGGGUUGUGUAGUAACCAAAUUAAUGGAUUAAAGUUAGAAAAUGUGCCAAACCAUAAACCAGAGAUAAGUAAGCAGAAAACUGCACUGUCAUGAAUGGACAUCGUUCUAGUCACUUCUGAGUGUGAUGGCAUGAGUAUUCUCACAUGAAAGACUAUUGUAAACUCUUACAUUUGUUAAAACCAAACACUUACAGUCUUUACAUGAACAUUAUAAACACAAUUUAUAAAAAUAUAUAAUGUUGCUUUUCUCUUGAGAUGUUUCAGCUGAGAAAUCUGAGAAGGUAGAAACAUUGAACUGCAAAAUGCAACUAUCCUCUAAAAUACCUGGUAGUCUAGAUUUGCUACCGAUGUAAUUUUUAUACACAUUUCAGAAAGUAAUUUUUUCCCCAAUACUUUGCUGGAUUGCCCAUAGGAAUAUAAAAAAAAACACACAUGCUAAUGUUGCCCACCUGAUAUUGAGCAGCACGAUAGAGUUAGACUCCUGAGCUGCAACUUCUGGGUCAAAAGUUGAUGCUAUUUCAGGGUAGUAAGCACAGCAUCCCUGUUGCCAGGAGGAAAUGUAUUUUCAGCUCUGCUCUCAUUAGGUGGUUUUUUGUCCUCUUCAAAUAUGAGGAAAAUAAAAUCCUCUUCAUCACCUCAACACAGUGGGGACUCAAAGUGCAUACUCCCCAAGGGACACAGAGGGCUCAGAAUAGAGACAAAUGGGGAUGACAUUUUGCAGGUAUAUUGGAGAACAGUGAAGACAACCAC
rnacentral:lncRNA from 1 species